rnacentral:misc_RNA from 1 species
GAUGAAGAACGUAGCGAAAUGCGAUAAGUAAUGUGAAUUGCAGAAUUCAGUGAAUCAUCGAAUCUUUGAACGCACAUUGCGCCCGCCAGUAUUCUGGCGGCAUGCCUGUCUGAGCGUCAUUUCAACCCUCAUGCCCCUAGGGCGUGGUGUUGGGGAUCGGCCAAAGCCCGCGAGGGACGGCCGGCCCCUAAAUCUAGUGGCGGACCCGUCGUGGCCUCCUCUGCGAAGUAGUGAUAUUCCGCAUCGGAGAGCGAUGAGCCCCUGCCGUUAAACCCCCAACUUUCCAAGGUUGACCUCAGAUCAGGUAGGAAUACCCGCUGAACUUAAGCAUAUCAAUAAGCGGAGGA